rnacentral:rRNA from 1 species
AUGAACGCUGGCGGCGUGCCUAAUACAUGCCAGUCGAGCGAACGGACGAGAAGCUUGCUUCUCUGAUGUUAGCGGCGGACGGGUGAGUAACACGUGGAUAACCUACCUAUAAGACUGGGAUAACUUCGGGAAACCGGAGCUAAUACCGGAUAAUAUUUUGAACCGCAUGGUUCAAAAGUGAAAGACGGUCUUGCUGUCACUUAUAGAUGGAUCCGCGCUGCAUUAGCUAGUUGGUAAGGUAACGGCUUACCAAGGCAACGAUGCAUAGCCGACCUGAGAGGGUGAUCGGCCACACUGGAACUGAGACACGGUCCAGACUCCUACGGGAGGCAGCAGUAGGGAAUCUUCCGCAAUGGGCGAAAGCCUGACGGAGCAACGCCGCGUGAGUGAUGAAGGUCUUCGGAUCGUAAAACUCUGUUAUUAGGGAAGAACAUAUGUGUAAGUAACUGUGCACAUCUUGACGGUAUCUAAUCAGAAAGCCACGGCUAACUACGUG